rnacentral:rRNA from 1 species
ACUUUCAACAAUAAAUCUCUUGAUUCUGGCAUUGAUAAAGAAUGCAGUAAAAUAUGAUAAGUAAUGUAAAUUACAGAAUUCUGUAAAUUAUUGAAUCUUUAAACAUAUAUUGUGUUCUCUGAUAUUCUGAAGAGCAUAUCUGUUUAAGUAUCAUUGCAAACUCUUCAAGCACAGCUUGUGUAUUGAGCCAAUGUCUCUGCUUGUGUGGACAAGUCUGAAAUACAGUGAUGGUACUGAGUUUCUGGUAUCUGAGUGUAUAGGAAAUCACUUCAUCACUCAAAGAUCUGAUUGAGGCUGAUCUCUUUUUUUUAUUAUAUCUGGUUUGAUCUUGGAUCAGAUAGAAGUACCUGCUGAACUUAAGCAUAUUAAUAAGUGGAGAAAAAGAAAUCAACAGGGAUUGUCUCAGUAAUAACAAGUAAAGUAACAAAAGCUCAAAUUUAAAAUCUGGCUCCAUGCAGAGUCUGAGUUGUAAUUUGAAGAGAAUACUUCAGAUGUGGCCAUAGCAUAAGUUUCUUGAAACAAGAUGUUAUAGAGAGUGAGAAUUCUAUCUUUAACUGCUGGACCACACUUAUGUGAAGUUCCUUUAACAAGUCAAGUUGUUUGGAAAUGCAGCUCUAAGUGGAUGGUAAAUUUCAUCUAAAGCUAAAUAUUGGCUGAAGACUGAUAGUACACAAGUAGAGUAAUUAAAAGAUUAAAAGCACCUUGAAAAGAAAGUUAAAUAGCAUAUAAAAUUAUUAAAAGAGAAGUACUUGCAAUCAGACUUGAUUAUGAGAGCUCAGCAGAUAUGCAUGUUUGUGUACUUCUCUACACUCUAGGCUAGCAUCAGUUCUGGUAGUUGAUUAAAGAUCUCUGAAAUAUAUUGUUCUCUGAGAUAUCUUAUAGUCAGAGAUAUAAUAUAGCCAGCUGAGACUAAGAAAUAUGCUUCAGCACAGAUACUGGUAUAAUAAUUGUAAGUGAUCUGUCUUGAAAUAUGAACUAAGAAGUCUAAUAUUCAUGUGAGUGUUCAGAUGUUAAAUCUGUGCACACAGUAAAAGUAAACAGAGAUGGAAGCCUGCAAGAGUGUAUUAUCAACUGAUUCUGAAGUCUUCAGAUGAAUUUGAGUAAAAGUAUAGCUGUUGGAAUCUGAAAAAUGGUGAACUAUGUCUGAAUAAAGUGAAGCCAGAGAAAACUCUGGUGAAGACUCACAGCAGUUCUGAUGUGAAAAUCAAUCAUCAAAUUUGAAUAUAGAAGUAAAAGACUAAUCAAACCAUCUGAUAGCUGGUUCCUGCUGAAGUUUCCCUCAGAAUAGCAGUAACAUUUUCAGUUUUAUAAGAUAAAGCAAAUGAUUAGAGACCUUGGGGUUGAAACAACCUUAAUCUAUUCUCAAACUUUAAAUAUAUAAGAAGCUCUUGUUACUUAAGUAAAUGUGGGCAAUAGAAUGGAUUGUGUGAGGAUCAUAUGUGUGGAUCAGUGUAAGGAUUCGCCGCGAACCCCUUACACGGACGAACAGCACCUGUGAGGGCCAGAGGCCUCAGCUCGCGAGCUGCUGGGAGUUGCAUGUGUCCUCGCGAGGCACUAAGUCACAUGCUCGCGAGCACACAUAAAAGGCCAUCACUGCGCGAACCCCUUGCUGGGAGCCAGUGGCAAUCUUGUUUACAAGUUGUACAUAGUUGCCAGAAUACAGACCUUUUACCUCGCGUACUCUUUUUCCAUGUAUAUUCCUCCUAGAGAUUCAUUGUCACGCUGAUCCACACGUAUGAUCCUCACAAUCAGCAUGACAAUGAAUCUCUAGAAGGAAUAUACAUGGAAAAAGAGUACAUGAGGUAAAAGGUCUGUAUUCUGGCAACUAUGUAUGACUUGUAAACAAGAUUGCUACUGGCUCCCAGCAAGGGGUUCGCGCAGUGACAGCCUUUUAUGUGUGCUCAUGAGCACAUGACUUAGUGCCUCACAAGGACACAUGCAACUCCCAGUAGCUUGUGAGCUGAGGCCUCUGGCCCUCACAGGUGCUGUUUGUCCGUGUAAGAGGUUCGCGGCGAAUCCUUACAGAUUGUUAAUAGUGAGCUAUUUUUGGUAAGGAGAACUGGUAAUGCAGGAUGAACUGAAUAUAAGAUUAAGAUGCUGGAAUACAUACUCAUCAGACACCACAAAAAAUAUUAGUUCAUCUAAAUAGCUUAAUGGUGGCCAUGGAAGUCAGAAUCUGCUAAGAAGUAUGUAACAACUCAUAAGCUGAAUAAACUAGUCCUGAAAAUGAAUGGUGCUCAAGUGUACUAUUUAUAUCUCAUCAUUGGGAUAGAAACAAAGCUCUGAUGAGUAGGCAGGUGUGGAGAUUUGUAAUAAAGUCUUGAAAGUAAUCCUGGGUUGAACAGUCUCUAGUGCAGAUCUUGAUGAUAGUAGCAAAUACUUAAAUAAGAACUUUGAGAACUAAAGUGGGGAAAGAUUUCAUAUGAACAGCAGUUGGAUAUAGAUUAGUUAAUUCUAAGAUAUAGAGUAGUUCUGUUUGAAAGCACACUCUAGUAUGCUGUUUGUUAAAAGGAAAGCUGGUUAAUAUUCUGGCAUCUGGAUAUGGAUUCUCUACAGCAAUGUAACUGAAUGUGAAGAUGUUAGCAGAAGUUCUGGAAAGAGUUCUUUUUUCUUCUUAAUAAUCUAUCAUCCUGAAAUUAGUUUGUCUGAAGCUAGAGUUUCAUGACUGAUAGAGCUCUGCAUCUUUACAAAGUCUGGUGCACUCCUGAUGACUCUUGAAAAUCUGCAGAAAGAAAUAGUUUUCACACCAGAUCAUACUCAUAACUGCAGCAGGUCUCCAAGAUGAAAAGCCUCUAGUUAAUAGAACAAUGUAGAUAAGAAAAGUCAGCAAAAUAAAUCUGUAACUUUGGGAAAAGAAUUGGCUUUAAGAGUUGGGCACAUUAAGUCUUGAAAGAAAGCCUCUGGAGCAGAAGAGCACUAGUCAGAAAACUGGUGAGCAUCUUCCAGCAUUGGAAUACAUAUUCUCUUGACAGACUUUGGCUGUCUGGUGCAUGAUUAAUGACCAACUUAGAACUGGUACAGACAAGAGAAAUCUGACUAUCUAAUUAAAAUAUAGCAUUGUGAUGGUCAGAAAGUGGUGUUGAUGCAAUGUGAUUUCUGUCCAGUGCUCUGAAUAUCAAAGUGAAGAAAUUUAAUCAAGCACAGAUAAAUGGCAGAAGUAACUAUGACUCUCUUAAGAUAGCUAAAUACCUUGUCAUCUAAUUAGUAACACACAUAAAUGAAUUAAUGAGAUUCCCACUGUCUCUAUCUACUAUCUAGUGAAACUACAGCCAAGGGAACAGGCUUGACAAAAUCAGUAAGAAAAGAAGACUCUGUUGAGCUUGACUCUAGUUUGACAUUGUGAAAAGACAUAUUAGGUGUAGAAUAGAUGAGAGCUUUGGCACUGGUGAAAUAUUACUAUCUUUAUUAUUUUUUUACUUAUUCAAUAAAGCAGAACUGGGCUUUACUACCCAACUUCUAAUAUUAAGGUUCUUUGUGGGCUGAUCUAAAUUGAAGACAUUGUCAGGUGAAAAGUUUGACUGGGGCAACACAUCUGUUAAAUUAUAAUACAGGUGUCCUAAGAGAGACUUAUAGAGAACAGAAAUCUCCAGUAGAAUAAAAGAGUAAAAGUUCUCUUGAUUUUGAUUUUCAGUGUGAAUACAAAUCAUGAAAGUGUAGCCUAUUGAUCCUUUAGUCCCUUGAAAUUUGAGGCUAGAGAUGCCAGAAAAGUUACCACAGAGAUAACUAGCUUGUGGCAGCUAAGUAUUCAUAGUGAUGUUGCUUUUUGAUUCUUUAAUAUUGGCUCUUCCUAUCAUACUGAAGCAGAAUUCAGUAAGUGUUGGAUUGUUCACUCACUAAUAGAGAAUAUAAGCUAGGUUUAGACUGUUGUAAGACAGGUUAGUUUUAUCCUACUGAUGAAGAUCACCACAAUGGUAAUUUAAUUUAGUAUGAGAGGAACCAUUGAUUCAGAUAAUUAGUUUUUGCAGUUGUCUGAUCAGACAGUGCUGUGAAGCUAUCAUCUGCUGGAUUAUGGCUGAAUGCCUCUAAGUCAGAAUCUGUACUGGAAUGCAGCAAUGUUGCUCUGCAUAUUGU